AUAAAGUGGAAUCCAGCGACCACUUAAAAAAACGGGGCACAACCGAAAAGCCAUAAGAGUAGGAAAUCA
rfam:Flavobacterium fluvii strain DSM 19978 genome assembly, contig: Ga0131141_109